CGAACACCACCACUGUCGGGCCUUAGCAAGUUUUCAUAGAUAGACGGGGCGAUCAUCCGACCACCAAAGAGUUACCCAAACCCUGCCCCGUCCAUCGUCCUUACAGUUGUAACAGAAAGGUAGACAUCCAACUCCUACAACUCGCGAGUGACAGGGAAUCACUCGGCUUUUACCGUCUCCUAGUUAAGCAAGCAGCUACUCGGUCCAACAGCUAGUGUUCAGAU
rnacentral:lncRNA from 1 species